AGUGGGUGUGGGCUGCUGAUUUGUUAGUGAUGGCAGCUAGCGGGAUGAGGCUCGGGCACCCCCGCCCCCACCGCCCGGCCACCCCGGCCCGGGGCGCCCUCCUCCCCUGAGCUGGCGGGUUGUGUAUUUCCUCUUGUGCACGGAUGCCAAUCCCCAAGGUGGUGGCGAGCCAAACGGGGCUGCCGCGGGCGGCUGGAGCUGGACACUGUUUGUAACUGAAACCCUGGCCUGCGGCUUUGGCCACCUGCUCCUGAAACCAGCCCGCUGUUUCCGCCCACUGAGUAAGUCCCCAGGGAGGCCCCGUGGCGGGUGCAGGGGGCCUGGAGCGUGGCUGACUCCAUUCCCAGGAGACCUUGGGGAUCUCUCUGAGCCUUAGUUUCCCCAUCCGCAACUGGAGUGGUCGGGGGAGGGGACUGCAGGCUCCCAGCUGGGGAGAUUGGGUUCCAGGAUGCUGAGUAAGUGACUUCACCUCUCUGAGCCUCAGUUUCCCCAUCUGUGAGCCGGUGAGAAACACACAGCCUCCCGAGCAGCUGCAUGCGGUCAUAUCUUUCCUUUGGGAGACACAAAUCGCAUCCUGUCACUCGCCUCGAGACCCUCCCAGGGUGCCCUGCUGCUCUUAAAGUGAAGACCAACGACCUCCCCGUGGCCCCCGUGGCCCCCAAGUCCCCAGGAGGUCCAGCCCUGCUGCCCUUCCCACAUCAUCUCCCUACAGCACCUCCUUGCAAAGAAGCUCAUCCCUACCUCAGUGCCACCUCCCCUAGGAGGCCCUUCGUGGCUGCCGCAUCUAGAAGGACCCUCCCUCUGCCACGACUGGCUGUGUGUCCCACUUUAUUCAUGCUUUCCACCUCCCUCCCUGGCCCCAGACCAUGAGUCCCACAAGAGCAAGGGUGUGUCUCAGUUGUCGCCAACCCCAGCCCAGGGCCUGGUGCACAGUAGCCACCUGGACGCUCACAAGUGCAAAGACAGCCCGCGGAGUGGGAGGAAAUACUUGCAAAUCAUGAUCUGACAAGGGAUUCACGUGCAGCACAGAUAAAGAAUCAAUAACGGAAAGAGACAUAACCCGAUGAAAACCAAGCAAAGGGUUUGAGUGGACAUUUCUGCAAAGGGACGCGUGGCCCAUAGGCGCCUGCGAAGUUCAGGGGACCAGUGAGACCAGGGCCCCGCCCACGCGGCAGGCCGCCCACCCAAGAGGGCAGACAGAGGCGCCGAUGAGGACGCGGGGACUGGAACCCACGCCCCUGCCCAGCCGCCGCCCAGUGUGCGGCCAAGCGGAACACUGUCUGGCGGCAACUCAGUCAGGUGAACCCAGGACGACCCCGUGACCGGCAGUCCCUCUCCUGGGGCCAGACCUGGAGAUCUGAAAACAGGCGUGCACGCCAAAACCUGUACACGGUGCUCACGGCAGCACGGCUGACACUCGCCAAGGGGGUGGCAACCCAAGUGUCCCUGGCAGAACAGACACAAAGGCCACAUGGCGCACGAUCCCAUUUAUACGAAACGUCCAGAACAGGCAAAGCACAGACAGAAGCACGUGGGUUUAUCUGUGGGAUGGUUGGAUUAGCGUCUGCCUUCCCCACCCGACCAGAAGCCCCUCAUGAUGGGACCGAUCCUGACCUGUGUGGGACUGGGCUUGGUAUACAGUAGGUGCUCAACGCUGACCUUCCGAAUCAAUGAAUGAACGAAGCUGUGAAACGGAGACUACCACAGUCUGAACUCCUGGAGCUGUGGGGAGCAGCUGAGGGACUGCCGCUCAGAGGAGCCCCAAAUACUGAGUACACAGCAGGAGCUCAGUAUCACUGGCCCAGAGCUCUGCUAAGCAGGACUGCUCAACCCAUGAGGCCUCCUCCAAGGGCUGGAGCCCAGCCGAAAGGAUGCGGAGAGCGAUCUUCAAGGGAGGGCACGCCGGAUGGCAGCGUCAGCAAACGCUUGAGCAAACGCGAGGAGGUGGCAACUCCAAGAGAGGAGCAUUUGCGGAGCAGCCAGCCCCGCGGCAGCUAAAGCACCUGGGCCAUGGCCUCAGUUUCCCCACCUGGAAGCAGAGGGCAAACGGAGGCUCCCCAAGCGGCGGGGCCGGGACCACUGCCCCCUGGCCUUGUCGGCUGCCAGACCUCCCUCACCCAGAGGCCUGUCUCUUUUGCCACAAAAUUCAGCAUCUCUUGGUUUCAAUCUCAGCCUCUCCCCCUCCCCCUGCCCUCGUCGAAAACCGGAAAAGUCUGUUUUGCAAACUCCGUGGGAGGCGGAAGGGGCGCGGGGCUGCCUGGGAGAGGCGCGCCGCUGCCGCCCCCUGGUGGCCGUGGGGGAACGCGCGGCAACUCGCUUAAGGACGGGGCCGGGCGCGCGGGGCGGGGCCGGG
rnacentral:lncRNA from 1 species